rnacentral:rRNA from 1 species
GACGAACGCUGGCGGCGUGCCUAAUACAUGCAAGUUGAGCGCUGAAGGUUGGUACUUGUACCGACUGGAUGAGCAGCGAACGGGUGAGUAACGCGUGGGGAAUCUGCCUUUGAGCGGGGGACAACAUUUGGAAACGAAUGCUAAUACCGCAUAAAAACUUUAAACACAAGUUUUAAGUUUGAAAGAUGCAAUUGCAUCACUCAAAGAUGAUCCCGCGUUGUAUUAGCUAGUUGGUGAGGUAAAGGCUCACCAAGGCGAUGAUACAUAGCCGACCGGAGAGGGUGAUCGGCCACAUUGGGACUGAGACACGGCCCAAACUCCUACGGGAGGCAGCAGUAGGGAAUCUUCGGCAAUGGACGAAAGUCUGACCGAGCAACGCCGCGUGAGUGAAGAAGGUUUUCGGAUCGUAAAACUCUGUUGGUAGAGAAGAACGUUGGUGAGAGUGGAAAGCUCAUCAAGUGACGGUAACUACCCAGAAAGGACCGGCUAACUACGUGCCAGCCGCCGCAGUAA